UAUCGAAGAUGAGGGAAUAUGAGGCC
rnacentral:piRNA from 1 species